UACAGAGGGGGCAAGCGUUGCUCGGAAUUACUGGGCGUAAAGGGCGCGUAGGCGGGAUGGCAAGUCGGUCGUGAAAUCCCUCGGCUCAACCGAGGAACGUCGAUCGAUACUGCUGUUCUUGAGGAUUGCAGAGGAGACUGGAAUUCCGGGUGUAGCGGUGGAAUGCGUAGAGAUCCGGAAGAACACCGGUGGCGAAGGCGGUCGACUGGGCCAGAACUGACGCUGAGGCGCGACAGCGUGGGGAGCAAACAGG
rnacentral:rRNA from 1 species